GGGUCAGUAGGUUGGUCGUGCCACCGGUACGUACUGGUCUCACUGAUUCCUCCUUCCUGAAGAACCGUAAUGCCAUUAAUUUGGUGUUGCGGGGAAACAGGACUGUUACUUUGAAAAAAUUAGAGUGUUUAAAGCAAGCUAACGCUUGAAUACAUUAGCAUGGAAUAAUGGAAUAGGACGAUCGAUCCAAUUUUGUUGGUUUCUAGGAUUGACGUA
rnacentral:rRNA from 1 species